GGCCUUGUGCCGGCGAUGGUUCAUUCAAAUUUCUGCCCUAUCAACUUUCGAUGGUAGGAUAGUGGCCUACCAUGGUUUCAACGGGUAACGGGGAAUUAGGGUUCUAUUCCGGAGAGGGAGCCUGAGAAACGGCUACCACAUCCAAGGAAGGCAGCAGGCGCGCAAAUUACCCAAUCCCGACACGGGGAGGUAGUGACAAUAAAUACUGAUACAGGGCUCUUUUGGGUCUUGUAAUUGGAAUGAGUACAAUUUAAAUCCCUUAACGAGGAACAAUUGGAGGGCAAGUCUGGUGCCAGCAGCCGCGGUAAUUCCAGCUCCAAUAGCGUAUAUUAAGGUUGUUGCAGUUAAAAAGCUCGUAGUUGAACCUUGGGCCUGGCUGGCUGGUCCGCCUCACCGCGUGCACUGGUCCGGCCGGGCCUUUCCUCCUGGGGAGCCGCAUGCCCUUCACUGGGUGUGUCGGGGAACCAGGACUUUUACUUUGAAAAAAUUAGAGUGUUCAAAGCAGGCCUAUGCUCGAAUACAUUAGCAUGGAAUAAUAGAAUAGGACGUGUGGUUCUAUUUUGUUGGUUUCUAGGACCGCCGUAAUGAUUAAUAGGGAUAGUCGGGGGCAUCAGUAUUCAAUUGUCAGAGGUGAAAUUCUUGGAUUUAUUGAAGACUAACUACUGCGAAAGCAUUUGCCAAGGAUGUUUUCAUUAAUCAGUGAACGAAAGUUAGGGGAUCGAAGACGAUCAGAUACCGUCGUAGUCUUAACCAUAAACUAUGCCGACUAGGGAUCGGGCGAUGUUAUCUUUUUGACUCGCUCGGCACCUUACGAGAAAUCAAAGUUUUUGGGUUCUGGGGGGAGUAUGGU
rnacentral:rRNA from 1 species